CCUACGGGCGGCAGCAGUGAGGAAUAUUGGUCAAUGGCCGGAAGGCUGAACCAGCCAAGCCGCGUGAAGGACGAAGGUGCCAAGCAUUGUAAACUUCUUUUGUCAAGGGACAAAAUCAGGCUCGAGAGCCUGACCGAGGGUACUUGAAGAAAAAGCAUCGGCUAACUCCGUGCCAGCAGCCGCGGUAAUACGGAGGAUGCGAGCGUUAUCCGGAUUUAUUGGGUUUAAAGGGUGCGUAGGCGGACUGUUAAGUCAGCGGUAAAAGCCCGGGGCUCAACCUGUGUAUGGCACUUGAUACUUGCAAGCUGGAAUGCGGUAGAGGUAAAGGGAAUUCCUGGUGUAGCGGUGAAAUGCUUAGAUAUCAGGAGGAACAUCGGUGGCGUAAGCGCUUUACUGGGCCGUAAUUGACGCUGAGGAACGAAAGCCAGGGUAGCAAAUGGGAUUAGAUACCCUUGUAGUC
rnacentral:rRNA from 1 species